UGCAGAAAUGCUGGAAAGGGGAACCAGAAAACAGACCAAACUUCUCUACAUUGAGAGACAUACUGGAUCAUCUACUGCAACAGAAAACAGACUAUUUGGAGUUGUCCAAUGAAAAAUAUUUUAUAUCUAGUUUGGAAAAUGACAAUAGGAAACCCCAUUUAAAUCCCACUUA
rnacentral:sRNA from 1 species